AUCACUUCUCGGCCUUUUGGCUAAGAUCAAGUGUAGUAUCAAUUUACUUUUCUUCUCUCCUAGUUUAU
rnacentral:snRNA from 1 species